GGGACUGUGGCUUAGUGGUAGAGUGCUUGCCUAGCAUGCAUGAAGCCCUGGGUUCGAUUCCUCAGCACCA
rnacentral:tRNA from 1 species